UUCCGGUUGAUCCUGCCGGACCUGACUGCUAUCGGAUUGAUACUAAGCCAUGCGAGUCUUUGCAGUAAUGCAAGGCAUACGGCUCAGUAACACGUAGUCAACUUACCCUAUGGACGAGGAUAAUCUCGGGAAACUGAGCAUAAUACUCGAUAGAUCAUAAUGCCUGGAAUGGUUUAUGGUUGAAAUGAUUCGUCGCCAUAGGAUGGGACUGCGGCCUAUCAGCUUGUUGGUGAGGUAAUGGCCCACCAAGGCGAUUACAGGUACGGGCUCUGAGAGGAGAAGCCCGGAGAUGGGUACCGAGACAAGGACCCAGGCCCUAUGGGGCGCAGCAGGCGAGAAAACUUUGCAAUGUGCGAAAGCACGACAAGGUUAAUCCGAGUGAUUUCUGCUAAAGAAAUCUUUUGCAAGUCAUAAAACCACUAGUGAAUAAGGGGUGGGCAAGUUCUGGUGUCAGCCGCCGCGGUAAAACCAGCACCUCAAGUGGUCAGGAGGAUUAUUGGGCCUAAAGCAUCCGUAGCCGGCUCUGUAAGUUUUCGGUUAAAUCCAUGUGCUCAACGCAUGGGCUGCCGAAAAUACUGCAUAGCUAGGGAGUGGGAGAGGUAGACGGUACUCGGUAGGAAGGGGUAAAAUCCUUUGAUCUAUCGAUGACCACCUGUGGCGAAGGCGGUCUACCAGAACACGUUCGACGGUGAGGGAUGAAAGCUGGGGGAGCAAACCGGAUUAGAUACCCGGGUAGUCCCAGCUGUAAACGAUGCAGACUCGAUGAUGCAUUGGCAUAUAGCCAGUGCAGUGUCGCAGGGAAGCCGUUAAGUCUGCCGCCUGGGAAGUACGUACGCAAGUAUGAAACUUAAAGGAAUUGGCGGGGGAGCACCACAAGGGGUGAAGCCUGCGGUUCAAUUGGAUUCAACGCCGGA
rnacentral:rRNA from 1 species